AUUCCAGCUCCAGUAGCGUAUAUUAAUGUUGUUGCAGUUAAAAAGCUCGUAGUUGGAUUUCUGACUUGACGCGCCUGGCCCGCCUUGCAUUUCGCGGGUGAGUGCCGGAGCGCGUCGGUCAUCCUUCUAGAGAACGGCGCUACCCUUCACUGGGUCGGCGUCGCAAUCUAGAUCUUUUACUUUGAAAAAAUUAGAGUGUUCAAGGCAGGCUCGCGCUGUGAAUACAUUAGCAUGGAAUAAUAAUCUAGGACUUUGUUCCUAUUUUGUUGGUUUCUAGGAAUUAAGUAAUGAUUGAUAGGGAUAGUUGGGGGUGCUAGUAUUCAGCGGCCAGAGGUGAAAUUCUUGGAUUCGCUGAAGACUAACUUAUGCGAAAGCAUUCACCAAGGAUGUCUUCAUUG
rnacentral:rRNA from 1 species